rnacentral:rRNA from 1 species
GACGAACGCUGGCGGCGUGCUUAACACAUGCAAGUCGAACGGAAAGGCCCCUUUGGGGGUACUCGAGUCGCGAACGGGUGAGUAACACGUGAGUAACCUGCCCUUGACUUCGGGAUAACUUCAGGAAACUGGGGCUAAUACCGGAUAGGAAUCCUUGCUGCAUGGUGGGGGUUGGAAAGCUUCGGCGGUUUUGGAUGGACUCGCGGCUUAUCAGCUUGUUGGUGGGGUAGUGGCUUACCAAGGCUUUGACGGGUAGCCGGCCUGAGAGGGCGACCGGCCACAUUGGGACUGAGAUACGGCCCAGACUCCUACGGGAGGCAGCAGUGGGGAAGAUUGAACAAUGGGCGGAAGCCUGAUGCAGCAACGCCGCGUGCGGGAUGACGGCCUUCGGGUUGUAAACCGCUUUCAGCAGGGGCGAAGCUUGUGGUGACGGUACCUGCAGAAGAAGCACCGGCUAACUACGUG